rnacentral:lncRNA from 1 species
UUUUUUUUUUUUUUUUUCGCAACGAUAACAAUUGUAUAACCCAUUUUAAUCUAAUCCAAGGAGAGGUGGAGGGGAAACCCGACAAAGAAAGCCACCUGAAGGUGACAGGCUAACCGCCACAAUUAAGUGACAAAUUUGAUGAAAGACAAGAGUUGAACCUUGAUUUUUCCCCUUUCCAAGAUAAUUAAGCUAUCUACAGAUUAACCUAUCCAAACAACAUCUCUUACUACUGUACAUCUUAGAGCAAAAAUCCAAUCGCAUAUCCACGCUACGUAACGAGAAUCCUGUCAUUAAGUUAUCAACCAAAUAGCACAUCCAUCCCCAACCCAUGAUUAAGUUAUCAACCAUAUAGCAUAUCCAAGCUAUAAAGACGACUAUUACUUGCACAAAAAAAAAAAAGAAACAAAUAUACACAUAACCAUCAUGGUACGUGUUAAACCAGAAGUAAGUCAAGAAUUUCGAUACCAGCCCCCGGGAAUUUUUCACUCCGUAGAGCACUUUCACUCUAUUGUCCAUAAUUUUUUUUCCAGACACCAGCCCCAGGAAUGCAAUUUUGAUAUUUCCAUGGCCCACAAUCUCUCAAACAAAUCUACACUAAUUCCCCGACUAAAUAUUCUCUGAUCCACUGCGAGUAAAUAGAGUAGAACUACCAAAAUCAAACUAUACACAUUUCAUCAUGUUGUACACAGUAUCUCAUUUCUGACCUGAAAAUAAAAAAGAAAAAUAAAUAUUCUGUUCAGCAUGUAAUUAGUUCUUAAUCUUGAACAGAAACUCCAGCCAUGUUUAUCUGUUCAUUCUACUCGAAAGAAUUCUGCAAUUGGGCUCCAAUCCAGCUUCUUAAUGAAAGGCUUGAAAUUCAUUUCGCCACAUCUCCAGAGCCCAAAAUUUAUCCACCACAAAUUGUUUCCAAAGCCCAACUUCGACUCUUUGACCUUUCAGUUUCUAAAAAUUUUCCACUUUCUUCAGCUUUCCGGUGGACCCAAGCCGUUUCAAUUACCUGGCUGCCAGCCUAUCUUUUACUUUCCUUUUGGAUCUAAAGAAAACGUUGGGGCCUACCACGCCAGCUCCCCCAGGUUCCAGAAAAGACCAGAACUUCAGAAAAUAACCUUUGCGCAACACGUGUUCGUUAUCCACGAGGACCAUAUCCUACUUUUCUCUUUCCUUCGUCGUAGUUCUUAUGCGGUCCCCACAGCAUACCCCGAUUAACUGCAUGCUCCACAGAACAGAACACAGUCAAGUCAACUCUCGCCCUCCGAUUUUCUCCUUAUCGAAAUAUCUAACCACGCUUGAUCAUCACGGUGAUUAUCAACUCUGCAAUCAGACGGCUCUGAUUUCCCUUCCGAUGCAUCCGCCUCCUUGUGAUCCCUCCCUUGUAUCUCAUUAUCUUCGUCAUCGCUUCUUCUCACGCGCUUUACCCCAAGUGAAACCCCGAAGAGCCUCGGACUCACGUACUCCUCCUCCUCCGCCUUCACUGCACCACCACCCGCGGCGCCGCCUCCGUCCAUCUCCACCGUAACCCGUCUUCCCGUCAUCAAAUCCAAAGCUCUUUCUUCCGGCAAUUCUCCUCCGCUGGUCUCCGCCUGAUUCCCGGCGUAAUUUGACAUUAAAUUAUAAAUAUUGCCACACAAACCCCGCAGCCGAUUCAAUUCUCGAUUUAGCUGCGCGUUUUCUUUUCUCAACCUUUCGUUCUCUUCUAGAAUCUCUGGCGUCGUCGUACACGCCGUCGGCAGAACAGUAGUUGCCGCUGGCGAAGAAUUGGAGGAUACAACCUGCUCGUCACCAGAAUUCGCCGGAGAUACCACUCUCAUCGGCGGCGGAACCGCCACUGUAACAACCGCCUGUGCAUUCGCAAUAACUGCAGCUGGAGGUGUUGCUACCACCGGCGAAGGAGCUGCCGGAGAGAUUUUCCGGCGUUGAAUAUCCCUUAGUAAUCCUUUUUCUCCUCUACGAAAACAAUCAUUUGCAAACUCCCAUCGAUCAGGCACCACUUUUCUAAAUCCCUAUUAAAUCAUAAACAAUAAUCAAAUUAAGCAAUAAGCACUAAUUAAAUACCAAUCCUAAAAAUGUAAUAAGGAAAAAAUUAAAUUAUUCAUGUUAUUGUAGCUUACGUAAGUAUUGAGUUGGCGAACGAAGCUGGAAAAAUUGUUGUGUUUGAAAUAUUUGGGAAGCAAAUCUCUGGCGAAUUCAGCUGGACGCCAAACAAUAAAUGUGGUGCCGUCUUCGUUCCACGAAAUCAAUUCGUCAAUGGAAGGAUCAUCCACGAGUUGAUAAGUUUUGGUGAGGAACGGCGUCGGAAGAGUCCUCUGAGACUCGCCUCCUCCUCCUCCUCCCCCCCCUGCGGUGGGAGAUUCGCCGGUCUGUUCAACCGGCAUUGGAGCCAUAGAAUCCAGAACUGCUUAAUUAUUCUUUAUUUCACAGAUCCAAAUCCUAAAAUUCAAAGUUAGAAAAUAAAUAGAAGGGAAAAAAUAGUAGUUAACAUAUAUUCUCGAAAUCAAAAUACCUCCUAUUAGUACUACGAUUUAUCGCAAAAACGAACAUGAUAAACAUAACAAUAACGAUGUGAGUUUUGUUUUACAAAACAAAGGGAAAAAGAAGGGACAAACUAUAAAAAAUUUUAAAAUUAGAAGAUAUACAGAUAUAUGAAGGAAAAAAAAAAGGUGGAAGAAUCUUAUCUUACAAGGAGAGAUAGAGAAGUAUUCAAGAGCGUUAAGGUUUCUGAACGAGAAGCAAUCUCCAAAACCACGGCAGCAGCUCAGAAAUCAUUUGACGGAGUGAAAGAUCAGAGAGAAGAUAAGCGUUGGAGGGUGGUUGUGCUGUUUUUUCUGGAUCUUUUUUUCCUUUUCUGUGUUUUAUUUCUAGAAGGUUCUGGAGGAGCUGUUCGGAAGAAAGGCGAAGGAAAAGACACGAAACAAAAUAAUUAAUAUUGAGUUUGUUUUGGGCCUUGAUGUUGCGGGGUGGCUUGGAGAUGGAAUUUGACAGGAGCCAGAAAGAGAAAAGAGAUGGAAUGAAAAUUAAAAUGGGUAAUUGUGGGACCCGGUUAGUAUAGGGUAGGCUGUGAGAGGGAUAUUAGCGUGCUUUUGUGACUGACUCAGUAAUAGCCUUCGAGAAAGUUCUGGUCAAUUCCGUAAUUUUCUUAACAUUAUUUAUGAAUUAAUUUUUUAUAUAUUAAUAAUGUAUACACUAUUAAAUUUAAAUUAAUAUUAAAACCCACACACGCCGUUAUAUUCAAGAAUUAUUCUCUUUCUUCUAUAAAUUUUUCAGUUAUAUAUAUACACACACAUUUAUACAUAUAUAUAUAUAUGUAUAUAUUAGUAGGCUUUUCUCUUCUUCUCGAUGAAUAUUUUUUUUAAAAGCCUUGUUUAAAAUGUAAUUUUUUUCCUAAAGAUUUUUUAUAUUUUUUCUAAAUAUAUUUAUCAAUUAAUUUUUUAUCUUGCAUGCAUCAAAUCAUUUAAUUCAGAAGAUAAGUUGAUGUCAAUUGAUGUAAAACUAAUGAUUUGAAAUUUUGGUCGCUAAAAAAAAUCUAUGGAUGGAACAAGGAUUCAUUUUUCCAAUACAAUGGGUUUUACUUGGAGGAAGGGAAGUUGCGUGUCCGAAAUCAGAAAUGUCAUGGCAAGCUUUAUUAGUACUAGCAUUCUAAUCGUGUUAUGCAUGGAUUUAUACUUUAACCCUCAAAUUAAAGAGUUAAAAUUUGAAGCAAAAGAAAAAAUUCUUAUAACUUUCCGUUAGUUUUACACUUUUAAAAUAUAUUUAUAUUUGUAUCUUCGAAAUAAAAUCACUCGAUUUAGUUAUUUGCUAUAUAAUUUUAGAUUGAAUGGUGUCAAGCUCUUUUUGAAAAAGUUUAUAAUUGAUUCCAUACUCAUCCUCCAGUUCACAAGAUAAAUUUUGAAGCAAAAGGAAAAGAAUCCAUAACCUGCAAUUUGGUUUAAUAUUUUUAGAAUAUAUUUACUUUUUGCCUCCCAAAAUAUGACAAUUGUAUAAAACCAAGAAUGGAGCAUAGUGGCUGCAAGUAUUGGCAUCGAAAAAUAUAAAUAAAAACUAAUAAUAUCUUACAAUACCCCUAGUAAUCAUAAAAAAAAAAAGAAAUAUAUUUAGAAUAUAAAAAAUGACAUAGUAGUGUUACAUAUUUACAUAUGAAGAAAAUAAUAAAAAUGCAAAAAAUAGUAAAUAAUACACAGGAUUAUUCUUAUUGAAUGAAUUUUACAUUCUUAUUCAAGCUGAAUUAGGGUGAACUUUAGAUUAUAUAUAUACAAAUUUGGUAGAUAUUAUUUAUGGUCAAAUGUUAUUAUAUAUUCAUCUUAAACUAUAUCGUUAUUUUUUUUAUUGUUUUUGUGAGAUUAGUUUUUUUAAUUUUUUACCAAAAAUAAAAUUCUAAAUAAAAAUUUCCAAUUUAAAGGACCAGUAUGAAUUUUUUUUUUUAAAUUUAGUGAUUUCAUAAUUUAGGUUUCAGGAAUAGUAUGCUAUUGAUUUUUAAAUCUAUUACUAAUGAAUAUUAUUUGGAUGGGGCUAAAUCCACACUCCUCAAUCUAAAUCUACACUCCUAGCAUUAAGAUGACAAUAAACUCCACAGGAGUUCAAUCCAAAAACUUGUCUUUCAUAUGACAAGAGAUGUUUAAAAAAUCAAUUACAAAUUUUAAUUAAUUGAAAUUAUUUGAUACCAUCGUCCUAAUUAUUGAUUUGAUAGUGUUUCCUAAAAUUAUACUUCAUUCAACUAUGAAGUGCAACGUGCCAAAAAGGUUAAAAUAUUUUCUUAACACAAUUAAAAAAGUUCUCACCUCCUUACAUGAUAAAAAGAGAUAAAAAUGUUAUCUCCACUAAAUAAGAUGCCAUCAAAGUGAAUCAAAAAAAUUUGUUAGAAAUUUUGAGACUAUUCGCAGUGAUAUAAAUUUGAAAUCCAAAUUAGCACCAUCUAUUUUCACUAAAAAAAGACAAAGUCUUUUUUAUUGAAAAAGUUUCUAUCAAGCCCCAUAAAUGCUAUGGAUUUUUUCAUCAGCUUGGUUAUAAAUCGCUUUGUAUGGAUUACUAUUUUUUCCAAAAUGAUUUUUAGGUUCUGAGUAAACGCAUCUUUCAAUUACUUUUAUUUCAUAUAUAUUGAUUCAUUAUAAUUUAAAAAAAAAAGAAAAGAAAAUAACAAUCCAAAUGAGAAUCUUUUUCUUUACUGGAUGGGUUUAGCUUGUAUUAUGGAAGCCUUAUGAAGAUUUAGAGCCACCUUUAAAUUUUUUUUUUCCUUGGGGAUUGAGAAGCAAAAUAAUCAAGGCUUAAGCACGUAUUAACUCUCCAAAUGUGAUCAAUCAAAUUUCCAUUCCAAGCCUUUUGUAACGAAUAAUCCAUAACCGUGUUACCAACGUGUGGAUUUUGAUCGUGGAGCUAUGCAUUUAGCCCCACCUGUAUUAUUUCUUUUGUAUUUUUUUAUAUAGCUUAUCAUUUUAGUUAGGAUUACCAAAUUGAAGAUUAUAAUAUUGUUAUUUAUUUAUUUUUUUUACUUUUAAUUGGACUAAUGAUGUUUCAUCUCUUUUUACCCUCAUAUGAAUAAACUCCAAAUCAAAUUCCUUUAUAGACACUUCUUACAUUUUAAAUUCAAAAGGUAUUAAGGAAUAUUUAAUAAUUAAAAAAAAUUCAAAAUUCUAUUAAAAAAAAUAAUAAGGAGUUAGAAUCUUUAUGAUUUGAUUAUCCUACUCGUCAAUAUCAUCAACACUAGGUGUGCGAUGGUAUUCAAAGUUGUAAUUGGCUAUUUUGACAGCUACUUAAAAAAUAAACCUAAUUGUUAAAAAGCGAGUGAACUUGAACAAACAAAAAUGAAUUUUCUUUUUUCAUGUCGGAAUAAGUGAUGCACGAGUUUUUCUAUAUAGCACACAACUAUAUGCAAUUAAAAAAAAUAAAAGAUAAAUUAUCUUUUGAGUUUUAUUAUUUUUUUUUUUUGAAUAAGCAUGUUAUGAAUUUCAAUUUUCAUUAAUAAAUGAACUCGUAUGCAAAAUCACUCAAUCAAUUGAGUUUGAGGAAGGUGCAUUUCCUGUAAAUGUGAUAACAAUAACAUGAUAAAUGAGAUGACAACAGCAUAAUGUUUUCACUUGAAAUUGUAAAAAUUGGGCUAUUUAAAAGAAAACAAAAAAUAACACUAUUUAAAAGCCUCCCCAGCAGUCAACAAACGAAAAUUGGAUGAGAAUGCAUGACAAUUUUCACGAUGGGGCAAUAGUCGAAUAUAUUCAGAUAUCAUGGACACAUGUUAAAAAUAGAGAAUUGAAUUCGUUACCACUUGCUCGUGCGCGCGAUCGUUUUAGCCUUGAGGCCCCUUGACAACGUUUCGUCUUUGUAAGUUGUAACUGCAGCAUCGCCCGGUGCCAUGUACUUCUACUAGAGGCGACUUGGACAGGAGGUACUUUACUGAUUCCCCCACCCACCCUCUCCUUCCCCCCCCCCCCGGCAUUCCCGCCGGAGUCCCAAAAAGUUCUAGUUUUUGUGGGAUUGAGAUGCUCAAUGCUAGCACUAUUAUAUGCAAAGUGCAGUCUUGGUAAAUGAUUUUUGCUGCGUCGUCCUCCACCUGUUUGGGCAAAUGCCACAAUCAUUUAUGCUUGGCUUCAGGCAACAUUGUAUUCAGAAUUUCGUGCCCUGCGUUUAUAAAGAUCAGAGUUUUGUAACUUUUUAGUUGUAGCUUCACUUGUCUAUGUUGAGUAGUUUCAGUCAAAUUUUGGACUGAAAAAACUUCGUGAAGUAAGCCAUUGAAGGUUCGUUUUACUGAGCUAUUGAAACUUAUUGGCUAAGCAUACUUGAAACGUUAAUCAAUUGGAUGCUUUUGUCUACCGGUUUUGGAAAAGAGACAAAAACGUAGCGACUACUGAACAUAGCCCACCUAAGGUCUUUCCUAAUCUUGCUUAUGGUUCCCAUCGCCUUCCCCUUUCUUCCUUCCCGUUCUUCUGCAUUCCAAGAAAUUUGUUUUGAAGAAAAGGAACAGAAUGGGAAGAUUGCUGAAUGAUAUAUGAGUGAAGUUUUUAGGUGCAUUGAUAUGUUUUCACUUUGAUGCUGCGUUUUCAGCGAGUUAAUGAUUAGCUAAUUCAUGACUUCUGAGCCCUGCAUCUCUGCUGUUUAAGAUUGAGUUUUCUUUCAUUAAUAAAUUUGCUUGUAGCUUCAUUGAUUUUUUUGCUGUUUAGAUGGCUGAUUUUUAGCUGUUCUUACUUCUUUAGGUGGUGGCAAUUGAAAGGCUUUGAACUCCUUUUGUAGUUGGAUUGAGUGUAAUGAGUUGACUACAUCCUUGCUUGCUAGAGAGGGACUUAGAAUGAUGCCAGCUUUAACAGCAACAAGGUCAUGCUUUCUUGUUGGCAAUUAUCUGUCAUUAAGAAUAUUUUCUCGGCUUCAGAAGUCAGUUUCAUUUCAUACAAGUCUUCCAGUUUUCAGUAAGGUUGGUCACGAGACUGAACCUCUUAUGCUAACAAGUCUCGGACUGAAGAGUGAAACUGAAACAACUACUGGAAAUGAGAAAAAUAGACUCCAGCAUGGGGUUUCUACACUAGAAUUCCCAAAAAGUAAGAGGAAGAAAGUUGGUAGUAAUAGAGAAAAGUUGGUUGCAGCUAAGAAGAGUCCAGACAUUCCGGCAGCCCCUUUUGCUGCUCAAUCUUUUUCUGAGCUUGGCCUUCCUCCUUUGUUGGUCGACAGGUUGGAGAAGGAAGGAUUUAAGGUCCCAACUGAUGUUCAAGCUGCAGCAAUUCCCACAAUUCUAAAGCGUCGCGAUGUUGUGAUUCAGUCUUACACUGGUUCAGGGAAAACAUUGGCAUAUCUUCUGCCCAUUUUAUCUGGGAUUGGCCCACUGAAGGAAGAUUCUUCAACUUUUGAUGAGCCUAAGAUCAAAUCAGAGAUAGAAGCAGUUAUUGUGGCUCCUUCCAGGGAGCUGGGGAUGCAGAUUGUGAGAGAAGUUGAGAAACUAUUAGGACCUUCUGACAAGAAACUGGUUCAGCAACUUGUAGGAGGUGCGAACAGAUCAAGGCAAGAAGAUGCCCUUAAAAAGAACAAGCCGGUCAUUGUAGUUGGGACACCAGGACGAAUUGCAGAGAUAAGCACAGCUGGAAAGCUUCACACUCAUAGCUGUCGAUACCUGGUCUUAGAUGAAGUUGAUGAGCUCCUUGCUUUCAAUUUUCGGGAGGAUAUGCAUCGGAUUUUAGAGCAUGUCGGAAGACAAUCUGGUACAGGUCAACAAGGUUCUAAUAGAUCUCAGGGUUGGCAGCCUGAGCGUCAGACAAUCAUGGUCUCUGCUACAGUGCCAUUUUCUGUGAUAAGGGCAGCUAGGAGCUGGGCAAAUGAUCCACUCCUUGUCCAAGCCAAAAGUGUUGCCACACUUGAAUCUGUCUCUUCCGCUGGACCCAUUAAUUUUCCAGGGACUACUUCCAACUCAAGUUCAAGCUCAAACUAUCAGAAACUGCCAGCAGUUCAGAGCCUACCACCUAAUCUUCAACAUUAUUUCUUUGUUACUAGGAAACAACACAAAGUUGAUGCGUUGAGGAGAUGUGUGCAUGCUUUGGAUGCUAAGUCCAGCAUAGCUUUUAUGAAUCACACUAAACAGCUAAAAGAUGCUGUUUAUAAGCUGAAAGCUCGAGGGAUCAAAGCUGCAGAAUUGCAUGGAGAUUUAAGCAAACUGGCCAGAUCAACCAUCCUAAAGAAGUUUAAGGAUGGGGAAGUUAGAGUACUGCUAACAAAUGAGCUUUCAGCUAGGGGUUUGGAUGUGCCAGAAUGUGAUCUUGUAGUUAAUCUGGAAUUGCCCACUGACUCGGUUCAUUAUGCACAUCGAGCUGGCCGAACAGGUCGACUUGGCAGAAAGGGUACUGUUGUCUCCAUAUGUGAAGAUCCAGAAGUAUAUGUUGUGAAGAAAUUACAGAAGCAACUUGGUAUCCUCAUUCAGGGUUGUGAUUUUACAGAGGGCAAACUUCUUGUUACUGAAGAAGAAAAGAUGCUAAAAUCUGUAAGGCAGUGAAGUAAUAGAAUUUUCAGUAAAUAUCUUAUAAGAGAAUUAUUGACAACAUUGUUUUGGUUUUGUUUUUGCUUGUUUCUUUCGACAAGAAGUUGCAGGUAUUUUGUAAGGCUACUUAAUUGAAUCUGUUAUUAAGGCUUAACUGAUUUUUCGUUUCAAAGAACGUCUUUUGGGUAGUUCACAUACAGACAUACAUGCAUACAUAACUGUUCAGCAUUUACGUGUCUAAAUAGAAGUCUUGUUAGAAUUCCUGUGUACAUAAAUGCUCGGUAAUCAUCAUAGCUAGAGUCUGCUUUGCUUUCCUUCUUCUUUGAUGAUGGAGCAGGCUGUGAGAGAGCGGAGACAAAAGAAAGAAGCAGGGCCAGCGCCUGGAGAACGAGACUGUGGACGUCCAUCUCUGAGUCGUCGAAGCAACUGAAUAUGAGAAUGGCGAUUUUGGCAGAGGCGGCUGUGCUGGAGAGUUGGAUGCAAGAGUGGAUACUUUCGCCACGCCCCACCGGUGCACACAAGAAAACACUAGACUGCCGCUUUCUUUCAUUUCCUUCUCUCUGCUCUCUGUUCCUUUUACAAGUUGAGAUUCCUUUCGCUUAAAGACACAAUUUUGGUUUUGUAUAUGUUCAAAAAUAAGGUCAAUAAGGACGAUGUGGGGAAACAAUUGUGUACUGGGGCUUUUGGUUGAUUUUAAUUCCCAAGUUACAUUUGGAAAUGCUUAUGUAAGUAGAGUUUUGAUCAUUUCUGUACCCCAGUAGUUUGCACGCAUGUACUGAUUAAUGGCAGUUGGUUUAGUGUUAUAUUGUUUGUCAAUCCAGCCGUGCUGCAUGAAUUUUUGGGAAAUGGCGUGGUUAGCUAACUUACAAGACGAAGGACCACAUGCACGUCAACUCUUCAAUGAGUUUAUAGGGGCUUAACACCGGAAAUAAGUUCGACAGACAAGCAAAUGAACAUUUGAUGAUAGAUAUCAUCCAAUGGUUAAGGUCUUUAAUUCUUUUUCCCUGGGAUGUGUAGUUUUGACUCUCAUCCUUUCAUUUUGUUUUUCUUCACUAAUUAGUGCUUCCCUUUUAAAAAACAAGGUUGAAAAUAAUAAGAAAAUAUCAUACACCUUCAUUGAGGUUUCUCAUAAUAUCACUUACACCCUUAAAAGUUUAAAAGUAAUCACUGACCUCCCCUAAUAAUUACAAUUUGACACAGAAUGCACAUAUCAAAUAAAUGGAGCUCAAAAAAAAAAAAAAGUCACUUUCUUCUCUUUCCCUUUUCUCCAAUAUUCUCCUUUUUUUUGGAUGACUAUACAAUUUUUUAUUUAUAAAUUACAAUAAAUUAAAAUUUAUUUAUCUUUUAUUUUUUUGUGAUUGUGAUGGAAUGGGGUAUGAUUUCUUUGUUUAUUUUGAGUUGAUUUUUUUUAACGAUUAGUACAAUUUAAAGGUUUGGACCAUGAGUUGAGAAAAAGUUGGGAAAAAAAAAUAUAAGAUUUAUAAUAAAUCGAUUUUGAGCAUAGAGCGUCAAAUUGGUGCUAAUGUUUUUCUUUACAAAUAUUUUUUUAUUUUCUAAAUUUAUAUUUUUAUGGACUAUAAUUUUGUGAUGUGAUGGUACUACUAAAAAUUGUUUUUUAGGUGAUGAUUUUUCUUAGCAUAAAUAAAGUGAUUUAUGAGUAUUUUUAUUCAAUAAAAAUGAGCAAAAAGGCAGUUUAAAAUUUUUAAAAAUUUUGUCACACAAAUAAUAAAAAUAAUGAAGGUAAGUGACAUUUUUAAUACCUUAGAGGCGCUACGUGAUAUUAAGAGAAACCUCAGGAGAGGUUUCUAAUAUUAUCCCAAAAAAAAUUUAGAGAAAGGGUUGGUAACUUGGUAUAAAUAAGGAUUAAUUGAUAUUGAUAACAACAUGUGCUUAAACGCUGCAGGAGACAAUUUUUCCUGUGACUGUUCAGUGUUAACUUAUAUACAGAUAAGCAACACAAUUAAAUUUAGGUAACUGCAGAAUUAAGCCCAGAAAAUGAUCAGAGUGGAGAUCUGAAAUCAGAGUUGAUUUUCGAGUAGAUUUUGCUUCGUUCAAUGAACAGAAGGACCAUCACGGUUGAGUUGACUUUGCUUCCAAAUAUUCAUAGUAUUAACACAAUGCUAGGAAUUGAACAACUACUACUGAUAAAGUUGGGAUAAAGAGGUAUCAAGAGUCAAGGCUUGCCCUCGUAACCCCAUGGAUUCAGGCUUGCCCACUUCCACUGAUCGCUGCA